UCAUCCUGUCAGAGUUCUGGAUGUGCUGUGGAUCGGUACCUACGUCUUUGCCAUAGUGUAUGCUGCUGCAGAUGGGACCCUGGAAACGUCUCCAGAUGUGGUGAUGGCUCUACUACCGAAAAAAGAAGAAAAGCACCCAGAGAUAUUUGUGAACUUUAUGGAGCCCUGUUAUGGCAGCUGCACAGAGAGACAGCAUCAUUACUACCUCAGUUACAUUGAGGAAUGGUGAGCAGAGAGUCUGGACAGGGCAUUCCUGCUCUCACUGGAAGAUCACACCUGAGUCACCUUGUCCCAUGUUGAAAUCUUUUCUGAUUGAUUGAUUGAUUGAUGGAUUGGCAGGGUCUCACUCCAUUACCCAGGCUGGAGUGCAGUGGCACGAUUGUAGCUCACAGAAGCCUGGAACUCCCAGGCUCAAGUGAUCCUUCCACCUCAGCCUCCCAGAUGGGACUACAAGCACAUGCCACCACACCUGGCUUAUUUUUAAAUAAGUU
rnacentral:sRNA from 1 species